rnacentral:rRNA from 1 species
UACGGGGGGGGGCAAGCGUUGUUCGGAAUUACUGGGCGUAAAGGGCGUGUAGGCGGCCAACUAAGUCCGACGUGAAAUCCCCAGGCUUAACCUGGGAACUGCGUCGGAUACUGGAUGGCUUGAAUCCGGGAGAGGGAUGCAGAAUUCCAGGUGUAGCGGUGAAAUGCGUAGAUAUCUGGAGGAAUACCGGUGGCGAAGGCGGCAUCCUGGACCGGCAUUGACGCUGAAGGAGC